rnacentral:rRNA from 1 species
UAGUUAUAUGCUUGUCUCAAAGACUAAGCCAUGCAUGUCCAAGUAUAAACCAAUUAUACGGUGAAACUGCGAAUGGCUCAUUAUAUCAGUUAUUGUUUAUUUGAUGAUACCCUACCACUUGGAUAACCGUGGUAAUUCUAGAGCUAAUACAUGCACGAAAUCUCGACUCGCUUGCGGGAAGGGAUGUAUUUAUUAGAUAAAAGCCAGCCCGGCGUGCUCUCGGGCGCGUCGGAUCAGCGUGGUGAUUCAUGAUAACUUUGCGGAUCGCACGACUCUA